UUUGGUUUAAAGAUUGCUUUUUAUAAAUGAAACAUCAAACAAAUUAUUUUGUGUAAGGGAGUUAUAUAUUCAACGAAAACUCGUCCGGGACACAUGAUAUGGUAAUAAUGAUGUCACAUGGAAGAAUAUACUUUCUUUUACUGGCAAUAAGCUUGUGCUACUAUUUAUCAGAAUCUAAUGAACAUGACGAUAUCCCGCCCUAUAUUGCCGAGAAAGUAAGACAAGCAUUUCGUGACGGCGGUGUUCCUGACGUAAAGAAAAAGAUAUUUGAUAAUAUCGAUAACUGGAAAGAUAUAGAAAUAAAUAUUGGUGUAACUGGAAAUUCUGGCAAAUCAUCUUUUAUAAACGCUUUACGGGGACUUUCAAGUGACGACGAAGGAGCAGCAGAGGUUGAUGUAAUCGAAACAACGAAGACCGCUACACCUUAUCCACAUCCACAAAAUGAAAAACUAAUUCUCUGGGAUCUACCUGGUCUCGGUACACCAAUUUUCCCUCGAGGCACAUACCUUUCAGAUGUUGGUGCUGAUAGGUUUGACUAUUUUAUCAUAAUAUCUGCGGAUAGGUUUACGGAAAAUGAUUUGUGGUUGGCGGUCAAUAUGAAGCAAAAGAAGAAAAUGUUUUUUUUUUUUUUUUUGUUCGUAGUAAAAUCGAUAUAGCUAUAAUUAUGAACAACAAACGAAGUCAUAAAACACACAGUGAAACGGACGUGCUUCACAGAAUACGAGCGGACUGCAAGAAAAAAUUGGAGGACGUAAUGGGAAGUGAUAAACUAGUACCACUCUUUCUUGUUGACAACUAUGACACCGACAAAUAUGAUUUUAGUUUAUUGUCUGUCCGCCUUAUUAAUGAUGUUCCUGAAAUGAAAAGAGAAGCUCUGACCCUUUCUCUUACUCAACUUUCAGAGGAUUUGAUUUUCGAUAAAAAGUUUUGUCUGAAAGAAUCGUGUCAAUGUCACUACUUUCUGGAGUUGCUGGGAUGGUUCCCUUACCCGGUCUCGAUAUUGUUGUGGAUAUUGCUGCACUUCUUGAAGAAGCAAAAUUUUACAGAAAGCAAUUUGGUCUUGACGAAGAGUAGUUGCUGAGAUAUGCCAAAACAUUUGGAAUGUCAGUCGAUGAAAUGACGCGCACAUUAGAUCUUCAGACACCAGUAAUUCAGUUUGCUACGAAAGGACUACUUGCAUACUUCGCAAGAAUAAGUAUUGCUUAGACAGCAGCAGCUCAAACAGCUUCAAUAUUGAAAUACAUCUUACCAGGAAUUGGACACUUUGCAAGUGCUGACACUUCCUAUACCUCUACUAAGUACUGCUUGGAACAUUCACUUAAUUUGAUGGUUGAAGACGCUUUAAAGAUCAACAAACUGGAAGUGGCUUAGUAGAUAAAAGACUCUGAUAAAUUGAUAUACUGACUGACCUGUGUUUUACGGCCUACCAGCACUGUGCAAGUAAAAUGGUGACUAAAAAUUGCGCUUACAUCGAAAUAAAGAAUAUAUAAGGUAUUGAAUCAAAACUUGAUAUAUGUUGGAAUCACAAACAUACAUCAAAACCAAGUGAUAAGACCCUAUCAGUUUCAAUGGCCGAUGACACUGUUUCUAAUUAUUUUCAAAAAACACACGGCACUAAAGACUCAGCUGUAGAAGUUUUUGUUUUAAUAUAUGAUUAAAAAAUAUAC
rnacentral:lncRNA from 1 species